rnacentral:sRNA from 1 species
UUUUUUUUUGUAUGCAAAAUACACUACAAGGACUAAGCCCAAGCACCGUAUUGUUUCAGUCUCGAAGUAAUUCUAUGUACUCGUGCAUUGGAGAUGCGUUUAAUUAACAUGGUGCGAUUGGACUUGAGUGAGCUGACAGCACUGUAUGAGGGUCUGUUUGCCAAGAUUCAGGACUUGUUGAAAGAGUUAUUACAACUACAACUAUAACUAUAACUACAACUAUAACUACAACGAUAAGAACUAUCACUACUCUGAAGACAACGAUGUGUUUUCUCAAGAUGAUAACGGAUCUAGCUUCGCCAUCAAUAAGUAUGAGACAAAGGAGUCCAUCUUUGAUGAAACAUCCAUUUUCCUGUUGUACAUUUUUGCAGGACAACUAGCCUGAGCACAAGAGACAUGGUGUACUAGACCUUGUGCGGAAUGUCUACUUCAAAACUUGCAUCUUUAUAUCUGAUAUAUAGAGAUAUAGAGAUAUAGAGAUAUAGAGAGAGGCUGAUGAUUUAUAAACACAAACGAUAAGACUUGUAACAUGAAGUUUGUCGAAAAAGUCAAUCUUUAAAUUCCUUUCUGAACCUCUGCUGUUAUGUCAGUGCUUCGGUAUUAUGCUUUAAUGCAGUCACUUGAGGCGUUGUCCUAAUAGGUGCAAAGUUACCGUAUAUUUAGGUUUCAUGUUUGUGAUUACUGGAGAACGACUGUGAAGAGACCAACCGUAUCGUGUUUUUUCCAAUUGUGAUCUUCCAAAUGCUUAAUAAAUACGAAAUCUUAUUUCGAUUUACAGGCUGGGCAUUCACGAAACAUAGCGUUUUUACA